rnacentral:lncRNA from 12 species
AGUUUCAUCACCAGAUCUAGAAACUAGAAAGAGGACCUGCUCCUGGCAAAAUUACAAAGCAAAUAAAGUUCACUUUCCAAGUCAUGAACCUGGCCUUUCUCUCCCCUUUCUCUCUUCCGAUGGCACAGCUCUCCUUCCCGCUCUGACCCCACGGCUUCCAGCACCAUCGCCGGCUCCUGGGCACAGGUGUUUGAGAGCUGGUCACCGCUGAGGAGUGAGGAAGGCUAUCCGUGCCAGCAGCGCCAUGCGACAACCAACAUGGAAGAAAAAUGAAAGGAGAAACUUCGCUGUUGCCCUGAUGUAGGCAGUGUGACAUGGUGUCCGGAAGAGUCUGGGAGUCAAGAGACCUGAAUUCUAGCUUUGGUUCUGCCAUUGACUAGAUAUGACGCCACCACAGGCCUUAGAAUCCUAUCAGAUUAAGAACUGCCAUGCCUUUUCUAACCUCCUCAGAAGGUUGAAGUCAACAACAAAAAUGUGAAGAAGUUGAAAAUAAUUAAAUUUUACAUUAAUGUAAAUAUUGCCAAGUCUUUUUAGAAUUCCUACUAACAUUAAAUGUGGAAAAACAAAGAAACUUCCUAAUGACUGUUGUGGGUCAAAACAGAUUUUGAUUACAUCUCUUUGAGUCUGUAGGGUAGAAAGUAUAGACGGGAAAGAAGGCAGAGAUAAGAUAUCACCUUUCAUUUCAGGGACCUAAUGCCUUUGUAAUACUAUGAAAUAAUAGAAAAAAUAUAUAUAUGUCUCUGCUCCUUGUUCUUGGCACAGACUUCCUAAAUCCUUAUAAUUUCCUAAAUGAUAAGAGCACUUGGAGCAUCUC